rnacentral:rRNA from 1 species
GGGGGAUAACUAUUGGAAACGAUAGCUAAUACCGCAUAACAGUAGAUAUCGCAUGAUAUUUGCUUGAAAGGUGCAAUUGCACCACUACCAGAUGGACCUGCGUUGUAUUAGCUAGUAGGUGAGGUAACGGCUCACCAAGGCAACGAUACAUAGCCGACCUGAGAGGGUGAUCGGCCACACUGGGACUGAGACACGGCCCAG